AUCAACGGAGGUCACCUCAGCGAGGAUCGGUGAUGGGCGUGGCUCUUCUCGUGCUCUCGCGAGAGGUCGCUGCCGGCCUCCCGGUAGCCAUAGCAGCGGGCUGACGAGAGGGGAUUCCCUCCAUACGGCCCUGUCCUCUUGGGCCCCGGCGAUUGCUCACAAGAGAAGGAAGAAUAGAAGAUACCAGUCAAAUCUUGCUGAUGAAAUUACAGGAACUUCAAGAAGAUCAUUUCUGCCGGAAUUAAAUUGAAUCUCUGUUUUGCUUAUAAAAAGUGAAGUUGCCUGUACCAAUAUUCCAGGAAGAAAACGACAAGAGGUUUUUGGUUGCCAGAGGGUUUUUUUUUUCUUUUCCUUAUUUCAUUUUGCCUGCUUAUUAGUCUACGGAGAUUACAAAAAGAACAGAAGAUUAUUUUUUCUGGUUUUUAGUGCUUUUGAAUAUGUUUCACUCUCCGAAUAAACUUUUUAGACCAGAUAUAGGACUUCAUUAUGAUCAUUCUUGGAAAAACUAUAAUUUUAUUUAGUUUGCCUCUCCCCCCCUUUUUUUUUUAGAUACAAAGAUGUUUUGUUGUCAGAGCUUAUUACUGUAACAAUAUUAUUGUUAUAGUAUUAUUUCUGGAUUUAAAAGAAAUACAGCGUUCGUGUCACUUCAUGAAAUACCAUUAAGGAAUGUGGAGGAAGUUUUAUAUUGUGCAACUUAAGUUUUGAUUUUGAAUUUUUAAGCCACAGGCACACCUAUAGAACCAGUUUUAUAUUCUAAAUCCAAAUGUGAAACAUGUCUUGGAAGAGAAAUUAUUUUUCUGUGGGACAGGGCGGCGUGCAAGGCAUGUUUACCCCACGAAAUACAACAUCUAUAGCACCAAGUAAAGGUCUCAGCAAUGAGCCAGGACAAAAUAGCUGCUUCCUGAAUAGUGCAUUACAGGUUCUCUGGCAUCUUGAUAUUUUUCGACGCAGUUUUCGACAACUUACAACACAUAAAUGCAUGGGAGAUUCCUGUAUAUUUUGUGCCCUCAAAGGUAUCUUUAACCAGUUCCAGUGCAGCAACGACAAAGUGUUACCUUCUGAUGCUCUUCGUAGUGCUCUCGCAAAGACGUUUCAGGAUGAGCAGCGUUUCCAGCUAGGCAUUAUGGAUGAUGCUGCAGAAUGCUUUGAGAACCUCUUAAUGAGGAUUCAUUUCCACAUUGCAGAUGAAUCUAAAGAAGAUAUCUGCACUGCCCCACAUUGCAUUUCACACCAGAAAUUUGCAAUGACCUUGUUUGAACAGUGUGUCUGUACCAGUUGUGGUGCUACUUCUGACCCGUUGCCCUUCAUCCAGAUGGUCCAUUAUAUCUCAACUACUUCACUCUGCAAUCAGGCCAUUUGCAUGCUGGAGAGACGAGACAAACCGACACCUGAUAUGUUUGGAGAGCUGCUACAAAAUGCCAGCACAAUGGGAGAUAUGAGAAACUGUCCGAGCAAUUGUGGAGAAAGAAUUCGGAUACGCCGAGUAUUGAUGAACUCUCCACAGAUCAUCACCAUCGGGCUGGUCUGGGACUCGGAUCACUCGGAUUUGGCAGAGGAUGUAAUUCAUACCCUGGGCACUUGCCUUAAACUGGGUGAUUUGUUCUUCAGAGUAACUGACGACAGAGCAAAACAAUGUGAAUUAUAUUUGGUUGGAAUGAUCUGCUACUAUGGAAAACAUUACUCCACCUUUUUCUUUCAAACAAAGAUUCGUAUGUGGAUGUAUUUUGAUGAUGCCCAUGUUAAAGAGAUAGGCCCUAAAUGGAAAGAUGUUGUUACUAAGUGCAUUAAAGGUCAUUACCAACCCUUGCUACUCCUUUAUGCAGACCCAAGAGGAACUCCAGUAUCAACCCAGACUCUAUCCACACAGGAUUUACCACAGUAUAGCAGAACCUAUUAUGAUAGUGAAGAUUCAGGACGUGAACCUUCUAUCUCAAGUGACACUAGAACAGAUUCUUCUACAGACAGUUAUCUGCAUAAACAUUCCCACCAUGAAUCUAUGGUCAGCCACUUUUCUUCUGAUUCUCAAGGAACUAUCAUUUAUAAUGUGGACAAUGAUGUGGUUUCGCAGAGCAGCAGGGACACAGGCCACCUGACCGAUAGUGAGUGCAGUCAGAGACAUACUUCCAAAAAGAAUUCUCUGACAGACCGUAAGAGAAAUAACAACAGGUCUAGAAAGAAAGGGGAUGAAGCACAGCCAUCUGGAUAUCAUAGUGAAGGAGAGACACUGAAGGAGAAACAGGUCCCCAGAACUGCCUCUAAAAUGUUGAGUGGUACUAGCAAACUAAGGGAAUUUAAAGAGACGGUGAGCAACAUGAUCCACAGCAGGACUUCACAGACACACCAGGGCUCCCCUCAUGGGAAGAACCAGACCGAAAUCCAGUCGCUACCCAGAACUUUGGCCAUUCAGACUCAAGACUGGGAAAUAGAGAGCAACAGCAGCGAAUCAAAGUCAAGUUCUUCCAGCAAGUACCGCCCACCUUGGAGACCCAAGCGAGAGUCGUUAAAUAUAGACAGCAUCUUCAGUAAAGAAAAGAGGAAACAAAGUGGCUACACCCAACUCAGUCCCUUUGCAGAAGAUGCAGCCAAAGAAUUCAUAGAAGAUAAGCUAAAGGAGCCAGCAGGUGAAAUAAAACCAAAAUGGUCCAACAGGUAUAAGCACUGGACUUUAGGCCGUGGCGCACAUCACAUGAUGGAUCAGCAUCCUCGUCUGAUCCAAAGGAUGGAAUCUGGGUAUGAAAGCAGCGAUCGCAAUAGCAACAGUCCAGUCAGUCUGGAUAUGCCUUUGUCAGAGAGCUCAAAUAUCUCUAGGGAUUAUCAUAUCAAACGAACUGGAGAUGUUAUUCCUGCCUGGCAUAAUAUUCCAAAAUCACAUAGCAGUAGCAUCUUCGAAGUAGAGUCUGCCUCAUCUGCAGCCUGCAGGACAAAAAAUAAAUACUCCUUUGGUAAUGGUGGGGAGCUACUUGUUUCUUCCAAAAGUGAACUAGAUGAAUUACAAGAAGAAGUAGCAAAGAGGGCCCAGGAGCAAGAUUUCCAGAGGAAGCAGGAAAAGGAAUUAGAGGCAGCCAUGGGCUUUAAUCCCCACCCAAGCAGAUUCAUGGAUUUGGAUGAACUGCAGAAUCAAGGGAGAAUUGAUGGCUUUGAGAGGUCCGUGCAAGAGGCAGAUUCAGUCUUUCAAGAGUCACUGCGUCAAGAGCAGAAAGGAGAUUGUGCUGCAGCUCUGGCUCUCUGUAACGAAGCUAUAUCUAAACUAAGACUUGCCAUGCAUGAUGCCAGCUCUAGCACUCAGAGCAGAGUUCUAAUCGAUAAGAAGCUGCAAAUCUAUGUCCGAAAAGAGCGGAGCCUCCAGGAUCGCAUGCAGCAACAGCAACCUGUACAACCGCCGUCCACCUGCCACCCACCACCGGGCGGCAACAUGACCCAAUCUACAAGUAAACAGACUGUCCCACUCCAAGUACUGCUGAAACAGAAGAGUGUGCUGGAGCCCAGCAAAGAAGCAGCACCUGGGUCCAGAUCCUACGUCCAUCCACUCGCUUCCCAUCCUGAAAAGGAAUCAUCAUAUUCCAAGCCCACAUUUCAACCCCUUCUUGAGAACAGCCUGAACUUUCAAGCGGCUUCUGUUACUUUCAGUGAUCAAGCUACUCCGUUUCCUUACAGACAACCUGGUAGUGACCAAUGCAUUCAGACUAAGAGUGAAAUUGAUGGCGAUGUGAAACUUGCUUCUUCUAGCACCUUAAAAAAUUACGAAGACCACAACAAUAAUAUUAAGGUCAAGAACCUACAUGAUGCAGCAUCUCCUCCUGCCCCCUACUGCAAAAUGAACGUAACUAUAACAAACUCUGAGUCAUUAUCUACGCUCUUCCCCUCUUCGCCACCGUCAGAAGCUCCACCUGGCAAAAAAGGCCUACCUAACCCACUUCUCAAUUCAGGAAAUACUUCAGAAUGGCCUAGUGCUGCUCCACCUGGGGACCUUCAUGGUGCAAUACUGCUUUCUCUUCCACCUCUGCCUCAUUGUGCUCCAGAAGAAUUACAGACGACCGGGCAACUUGAGGUAAACAGUCACGAGAGUUUACAUCAUCCACAAGAAGUCGUCGGUGGGGAUUCUUCGAAAUCCAAAGGUGUAAGUAGCAAAAGGGACUUUUUUUCCGUUGCAGAACAGGUUCAGUGGUUGGAAGGAAAUUUCCAAAGACAAGGUACUUGUGAGGAAAAGAGGAAGGCAGCUAUCCGUUGUGAUCAAAAUGCUCCAAAAUUACAGCAGGAAUUCCACAGCAGCCAUUUGUACCUCAAGGUGUCGGAUGUCGGAAGACAGGAGAACGGAGUGGCACCUGCCAAAACGUUGGACUCAAGUCUUUCUAAAACUCAGUUGAGUCCUGAAGAUGGUCUGAGUGCUUCCAACGUCCUUUCUGAAAAUUCCGAUUCACGUACAAAAAUCCUCUGCCACCAAGGGAAGCCGUGUUCCUUGAAUCCCAAGUUAUACCCAAGAAAACGCAGCUGUGAGGAAAAAACAAGGCACACCAGUUACAGAAAUCCUGCUGGCUCGAUUGCCUCUGUGCCCGUGGCGAGUUGCAUAGACCAUGUUAGCAAUUCUGACACAGCAAUAACUCAGCAUAAGACUGCCGGCUGGCUUUUGAUGCCUGGAAACAAAUCACCUCUGAUCAGUCAAAGAGCUUUGGGGGAAUACCCAGUGCAGAAUCAGGAAACAGCGCAGGAAGUUUCUGAGCUGGAAUCUCUGUACCAGGCCAGCAUGCAAGUACCUCUAUUGGGAAAACUGGACGGUUCCAAACCGGCGCUGAACAAAGCAGCAAACUUGCCUACAAGAAAGACGUAUAGGGGUCUGUCAAGAACAGCAGAACCUGAACACAACACCUGUGGAAAUAUUGGUUCUCCAGAUACUAAGACACAUGUGCCAUAUACUGGCCAGGAGCCAGAAGAGGAAACCUACAGUGCAGAGAACUUCCGUCGCAUUGCACGCAGUCUCAGUGGGACAGCCAUCACAAGCAAAGAAGAGAAACUUGCUUCUUCUCAGAAUUUUGAAGUGUCCAGCAGGAAGAAACUGUCAGUGGAAGCCAGAUCCUAUUCCAGCACUACUUCCCUUUCCUUCCCUCCCAAUUUGCCUCCUGUGCUCCCCUUCCGUCCUCAGCACUCUUCACCCCAACUGCAGCACUUCUCCCAUGAUGCUCCAGUGACUACUAUGGCGAACAAAAUGCAUAGACAAUCAGGAAAUCAGAAGAAUAUCCAAAAGUAUCUAACUGCACCUGACAGGAAUACAGCUUUCCACGCAGAAGACAAACCACGUGUGCCGCUGAAUUAUGACAACCCCAUUUACAAACAGGACCAGCCUUCUCAAAGGCAGACAUCUUUCAAUACAUUUUUAGACAGCGGAACGCUAAAUGCUUCCAACUACUGGCUACAGAGAAGUCACGCUGGGCAAGAGACAGCAGCAGCAGCAGCAGCAGAUCGUGACACAGCGCACGGGGACUCUCUCCCCCAGAUGAGCGAGGACUCACGAGAGCCCCUGCCCCAGUGGCCACUCCCUCAGGGAAAGGAUGAGGCUGGUACUUUGGGCUGGAAGCGGUCCCCUGGCCGGGGUUACGCCACCGUCUCACAUGGGGCUUCAAGACACAAAGGCUUUCAGGGUGGCGGUCUGAUUUCCCAGCAAGCCAAGGUCCAAGGCCCGAGGCGUGUCGACAUGCCCCCGGACGAAGACUGGCGGCAACACACCUUUGCUCCACAGCCUGCCUCAAGAAGCAUCUUCGUCCACUCCGGUAAUGCCCUGUAAAACCCUGGCCCGUGUCGCGGUUCCCUCCAUGCACAGCCAUGACUGGUGAGAGGGCACCCUUCCGCUGGGGCUGUCCCUGUCGAAAGAGGCCCUUGUCUGAACUGAAGAUACUGAAAUGCAGAAAUUCAGGAUGGAUAUUUUGUAAAUGCCAAAUGAGAAAACUUUUGAUAGAAUAUUUUAAGAAAUUAGAGUAAUAUGAAUUAUAUUACAAUAUAGUAAGCUCAGUAACAGGGAAAGAUUGAAGGCGAAUGAGGUCCAGGCAGAAGAAGAACAUCGUGGCUUCAAAAUCUAAGGGACUGGUUUGGACAAAACUCAGCAGCACUUUUUCGUGUGGCUGCUAAUAAAAACAGGAUCGCCAACAUGAUCGCCAACGUCCGAUAACAGAUAUGGAAGAAGAGGAGGAGGAGGAGGAGGAGAUGAAGAAGCUGCUGUUGCCGCUGCUGCUGCUCAGUAAAUUUCUGAAUUCUUGGCCCUUGCAUUGCAAGUUGCUCCAAGAGUUAGAUAGCAACUCCUGUCACCUUAGCCAGUAGUUGCUACCUUUUCACACUACACAUUGCCCCCCCCCGCCUUUAUGUAUUUCUAACCUUUAGAAAAUUAAGCAGUCCAUAAGGCCAUGAAGAGUUGGCGGUGGCUUACAGUCUUAGCCAGGUUGGUCUUCCAACAGAUAUGGGUGAUGCUGUUUCAGCUAUUAUCUUCGCAUAAAUGGAACAAGAAUGAAUAUUGUGGACUUAAUGCAUCCUGACAGCUACUCCACUGCAUGGGUUCAGGAAAGACAAAAUAUAGCACAAGUAGUUCUGGCCAGAACACAUUUGUUUCUGAUCCUUAAAAUACAAGGUAGCAAACUAUGACAACUUACCUCUUUAGCCUCCUGCACGUAUCCUUUCAUACUCUCAGGCCACCUAUUCUUUCUUUCCUCGGAGCAUUUUUUCUGUAAGGGCCCUUUUUAAGUUUAUGAAGAACCUGGUUCCAUCACUCAAUUACUCUGGAAUUCCAAAGUAGUAAGAUAACUUUUGUUUUUCACCUCUAGCACUUUGGAUGCUCUUUUUAAUCAACUAGCUUGCAAUUUGGGGAAAGGGGGGGAAAUUGUCCUUGCUUACCCCAAAGGAACAUAUAAAUACAGUAUAAUUGUAAGUGGUGUCAGGAAAGCCGACAACUCAGAAUGAGCUGAGAUUACUAAAGGGUGCAAGGAUGACAGAAUGUUCUAUUAAACAUCUAUGCUGAAAAUACAAAGAAUUAGUAUACUGUACCAGCUGCUCAGUGGAAAAAAGCUAACCAGCAAUAAACGCAAAGCUACUCAACUCAUACUUUUGUGUAGCCUACACCAACAAAUGAAUUAGAUUUUUCAUUAGGCAGUGUGAAGAUCGGGAUGAAGGGGCAAGAUUUAGACUGGAGAUGGAUAGAAAUAAGAUCAGGAAAUACCUCUAUUUUGAAUGAAUUGAAAUUCAAGCAAACUAUAUUUUGGGAUACUUAUUUGGGGGGGGGGAAACUGGACAACUGAUUUAAGUGCUGAGUGCCUGGAGCAGUGCUCCUAUUCCUGUCUUCAAGGGUGGGCAGGGGAUUAUCAAGGAAAUUAUAGACUAGUCCGAUUGAGGCCGAUAAUCAUCUAGAACGAAAGAUCCAAAGAGAUUGAUAAGCAUCUAGGAAAUAUAAUUACUCAAAGCCUGCAUGGAACUUGUCAGGCUAGCCUUAUCACAUUUGUUAUCUUUAUUAAUCAAUUUGGGAAAUGCUUUAAGAUUUAGUUUCAGCUUGAUAAAAUACCCUGCGAGAAGCUCAGAGUGAAGGUAGCUAAAAAAGGGUGCUGCCAGAUGCCCCUUCAGCGCCAAAGGAAGACCAGCUGGGCAGAUGAGCACCACCAUGAUGGGCCUAUGACAGGUAGGCAACCUUGGCUCUUUUAUGACUCGUGGACUUCAACUCCCAGAAUUCCUGAGCCAACAUGGCUCAGCUUGGAAACCCCUCCUUUUCCCCUCAGCGUGGCUAGCUCAGGAAAUCUGGGAGUUGAAGUCCACGAGUCAUAAAAGAGCCAAGGUUGCCUACCCCUGCCUUAGAACUAAGCACAGCACAGGAAUACCUAUUAAUUAGUGUAACGGGCCAAUCAGACCAACGAAGAGUAUUAAUGAAGCACCAAGACAUAAGAAAACAGCCAAAUGGCUAUAGAUACAAGCAUAGGAGAUUAACCUAUGCCCAAGAUUCCUCUCUGUACAGUAAAACUGCCCCAACUCCCAAAGGGAGAUAAAAAACAGAAAUUCUUAUUAAAUAAGUGUAAGAAUAAAAAAGCAAGUUCUUAUUGUAGAGUCUGAGGUUAAUCUAAUUAGUGGUAGCCAAAACAUUCUACGAACCUCAGUCCAGUAUCAAAUGAAUUGAGCUCAAUUUUAGCAACCAUAUAAACAUGCAAUUGCAACAAAGCUUCUUUGACACAUUUCCUUCCAAAUGUUCAUAGUCCAGUUUUAUUCAUUUUUUUGUCCACACGGCAUAAGCAAUUAUCUAACCUCCAGAAUGCAUUAUUCAAAAACUUUCUCAAACGCUCACUUUCAUUCACUUUAUAAAACCUGAAUCUUUUAACAAUGUACUUAAAUAUAUUGAAAUAGAACUGUAUUUUUUUAAAAAACUCUAGGCAAUACAACUAGGCAAUUAUCAGAAGUUGCAAGCUAAAAUGCAGUUUUCUACCCUCAAUCAAAGCUUGAGAAACUAAAAAUCCACUUGGGAAUAAAUCAUCUUAAGUACAUUAAGUAUAUUCACCACUACUAUAUUAAAUUUAAAAAAAAAAA